rnacentral:rRNA from 1 species
GACGAACGCUGGCGGCGUGCUUAACACAUGCAAGUCGAGCGGUAAGGCCCUUUCGGGGGUACACGAGCGGCGAACGGGUGAGUAACACGUGGGUGACCUGCCCUCAGCUCUGGGAUAAGCCCGGGAAACUGGGUCUAAUACCGGAUAUGACUCCAUGACGCAUGUUGUGGGGUGGAAAGCCUUGUGCGGCUGAGGAUGGGCCCGCGGCCUAUCAGCUUGUUGGUGGGGUNAUGGCCUACCGAAGGCGACGACGGGUAGCCGGCCUGAGAGGG